rnacentral:rRNA from 1 species
UGGGGAAUAUUGGACAAUGGGCGAAAGCCUGAUCCAGCCAUGCCGCGUGUGUGAAGAAGGUCUUCGGAUUGUAAAGCACUUUAAGUUGGGAGGAAGGGCAGUAAGCGAAUACCUUGCUGUUUUGACGUUACCGACAGAAUAAGCACCGGCUAACUCUGUGCCAGCAGCCGCGGUAAUACAGAGGGUGCAAGCGUUAAUCGGAAUUACUGGGCGUAAAGAGCGCGUAGGUGGUUCGUUAAGUUGAAUGUGAAAGCCCCGGGCUCAACCUGGGAACUGCAUCCAAAACUGGCGAGCUAGAGUAGGGCAGAGGGUGGUGGAAUUUCCUGUGGAGCGGUGAAAUGCGUAGAUAUAGGAAGGAACACCAGUGGCGAAGGCGACCACCUGGGCUCAUACUGACACUGAGGUGCGAAAGAGUGGGGAGCAAACAGG